GAUGAACGCUGGCGGCGUGCCUAAUACAUGCAAGUCGAGCGAACAGACGAGGAGCUUGCUCCUCUGACGUUAGCGGCGGACGGGUGAGUAACACGUGGAUAACCUACCUAUAAGACUGGGAUAACUUCGGGAAACCGGAGCUAAUACCGGAUAAUAUAUUGAACCGCAUGGUUCAAUAGUGAAAGACGGUUUUGCUGUCACUUAUAGAUGGAUCCGCGCCGCAUUAGCUAGUUGGUAAGGUAACGGCUUACCAAGGCAACGAUGCGUAGCCGACCUGAGAGGGUGAUCAGCCACACUGGAACUGAGACACGGUCCAGACUCCUACGGGAGGCAGCAGUAGGGAAUCUUCCGCAAUGGGCGAAAGCCUGACGGAGCAACGCCGCGUGAGUGAUGAAGGUCUUCGGAUCGUAAAACUCUGUUAUUAGGGAAGAACAAAUGUGUAAGUAACUAUGCACGUCUUGACGGUACCUAAUCAGAAAGCCACGGCUAACUACGUC
rnacentral:rRNA from 1 species